rnacentral:rRNA from 1 species
GAUGAACGCUGACAGAAUGCUUAACACAUCAGCAAUUGAUUGGUGGCGGACGGGUGAGUAACGCGUAAAGAACUUGCCUCACAGGUAGGAACAACAUUUGGAAACGAAUGCUAAUACCUAAUUCUGUUCGAUAGCGUUUCGUCCCAUUAGCUAGUUGGAGAGGUAACGGCUCACCAAGGCGAUGAUGGGUAGCCGGCCUGAGAGGGUGAUCGGCCACAAGGGGACUGAGAAAAGGCCCUUACGCCUACGGGAGUCAGCAGUGGGGAAUAUGGGACAAUGGACCAAAGUCUGAUACAGCAAUUCUGUGUGUACGAUGAAGUUUUCGGAAUGUAAAGUGAUUUCAGUUGGGAAGCGGUACCAACAGAAGAAGUGACGGCUAAAUACGUGCCAGCAGCCGCGGUAAUAC